rnacentral:rRNA from 1 species
UACGUAGGGUGCAAGCGUUAAUCGGAAUUACUGGGCGUAAAGCGUGCGCAGGCGGUUUUGUAAGUCUGUCGUGAAAGCCCCGGGCUCAACCUGGGAAUUGCGAUGGAGACUGCAAGGCUUGAAUCUGGCAGAGGGGGGUAGAAUUCCACGUGUAGCAGUGAAAUGCGUAGAGAUGUGGAGGAACACCGAUGGCGAAGGCAGCCCCCUGGGUCAAGAUUGACGCUCAUGCA